rnacentral:lncRNA from 1 species
GUUUAUCAAAAACUGAGUGCCAUAUAAACGUGUUCUUCAAACUUUUUAUACCUACUCAGCUUCAGGACAGUAACCUCAAGUGAUAACAUCUGAUGAAACAAAGAUGAUAGCAUUUUACUAGUAAAAACAGUGAAACAGUUGGAACAGUGAGUGGGGCUGUCAAAGAGGGGCGUAGGCUGUCAAAGAGGGGCGUAGGCUGUCAAAGAGGGGCGUAGGCUGUCAAAGAGGGGCGUAGGCUGUCAAAGAGGGGCGUAGGCUGUCAAAGAGG